rnacentral:rRNA from 1 species
UACGUAUGGAGCAAGCGUUAUCCGGAUUUACUGGGUGUAAAGGGAGUGUAGGUGGCCAGGCAAGUCAGAAGUGAAAGCCCGGGGCUCAACCCCGGGACUGCUUUUGAAACUGCAGGGCUAGAGUGCAGGAGGGGCAAGUGGAAUUCCUAGUGUAGCGGUGAAAUGCGUAGAUAUUAGGAGGAACACCAGUGGCGAAGGCGGCUUGCUGGACUGUGACUGACACUGAGGCUCGAAAGCGUGGGGAGCAAACAGG